rnacentral:rRNA from 1 species
ACUCCUACGGGAGGCAGCAGUGGGGAAUAUUGCACAAUGGGCGCAAGCCUGAUGCAGCCAUGCCGCGUGUGUGAAGAAGGCCUUCGGGUUGUAAAGCACUUUCAGUCGUGAGGAAGGUAGUGUAGUUAAUAGCUGCAUUAUUUGUACGUUAGCGACAGAAGAAGCACCGGCUAACUCGUGCCAGCAGCCGCGGUAAUACGGAGGGUGCGAGCGUUAAUCGGAAUUACUGGGCGUAAAGCGCAUGCAGGUGGUUUGUUAAGUCAGAUGUGAAAGCCCGGGGCGUCAACCUCGGAAUAGCAUUUGAAACUGGCAGACUAGAGUACUGUAGAGGGGGGUAGAAUUUCAGGUGUAGCGGUGAAAUGCGUAGAGAUCUGAAGGAAUACCGGUGGCGAAGGCGG